rnacentral:rRNA from 1 species
AGCAGCCGCGGUAAUUCCAGCUCCAAUAGCGUAUAUUAAAGUUGUUGCAGUUAAAAGCUCGUAGUUGAAUUUCGGGAUCAAUAUAUUGGUCAUGCUUAGGUAUGUACUGGUAUUAUUGAUUUCUCCCUUCUGAAGAACCAUGAUGUCAUUAAUUUGAUGUCGUGGGGAAUCAGGACUGUUUGAAAAAUUGAGUGUUUAAAGCAGGCUUUCGCUUGAAUACAUUAGUAUGGAAUAAUGAAAUAGGACGUUUGAUUCUAUUUUGUUGGUUUCUAGGAUCGACACAAUGAUUAAUAGGGAUAGUUGGGGGCAUUAGUAUUCAAUUGUCAGAGGUGAAAUUCUUGGAUUUAUUGAAGACUAACUACUGCGAAAGCAUUUGCCAAGGAUGUUUUCAUUAAUCAAGAACGAAAGUUAGGGAUCAAAGACGAUCA